rnacentral:rRNA from 1 species
CGAACGCUGGCGGCGUGCCUUAGACAUGCAAGUCGAGCGAGAACUUCGGUUCUAGCGGCAAACGGCGCAGUAAUACGUAAGCAACGUGCCCCCAAGACUGGGACAGUCCGGGGAAACCCGGUUUAAUACCAGAUGUGGCCGUUCUUCCGCCUGGAAGAACGAUUAAAGGACUUCGGUCGCUUAGGGAGCGGCUUACGACCUAUCAGGUAGUUGGUGAGGUAACGGCUCACCAAAGCCUACGAACGGGUAGCGGGUCUGAGAGGAUGAUCCCGCGCGAGUGGGACUGAGACACGGNCCACACACCUACGGGUGGCAGCAGUUUGGAAUAUUGCACAAUGGGGGAAACCCUGAUGCAGCGACGCCGCGUGGGGGAUGACGGAUUUCGGUCUGUAAACCCCUUUUGCCAGGAAAGACUUAGGACGGUACCUGGCGAAUAAGCCCCGGCUAACUACGUGCCAGCAGCCGCGGUAAUACGUAGGGGGCGAGCGUAGUCCGGAUUUACUGGGCGUAAAGGGCGCGCAGGCGGCCUGUUAAGUGUGAAGUGAAAUCUCCUGGCUCAACCAGGAAAUUGCUUUGCAUACUGGCAGGCUAGAGAAAGGCAGAGGUAGAUGGAAUUCCCGGUGUAGCGGUGACAUGCGUUGAUAUCGGGAGGAACACCAAUGGCGAAGGCAGUCUACUGGGCCUCUUCUGACGCUCAGGCGCGAAAGCGUGGGUAGCAAACAGGAUUAGAUACCCUGGUAGUCCACGCCCUAAACGAUGGAUACUAGGCGUUAGGGGUAUCGACCCCCUUAGUGCCGCAGCAAACGCGAUAAGUAUCCCGCCUGGGGACUACGGCCGCAAGGCUGAAACUCAAAUGAAUUGACGGGGACCCGCACAAGCGGUGGAGCAUGUGGAUUAAUUCGAUACUAACCGAAGAACCUUACCCAGACUUGACAUCGAGGGCCCGGCUAUGAAAGUAGCCUUCCGCCUCACAAGGGCGGCCCAAAGACACCUGUUGCAUGGCUGUCGUCAGCUCGUGCCGUGAGGUGUUUGGUUAAGUCCAGCAACGAGCGCAACCCUCGUCCUAUGUUGCCAACAGGUAAAGCUGGGAACUCAUAGGAGACCGCCGGCGCAAGCCGGAGGAAGGUGAGGAUGACGUCAAGUCAGCAUGGCGGUUACGUCUGGGGCUUCACACAUGCUACAAUGGAUGCAACAAAGGGGAGCGAGACCGUAAGGUUUAGCGAAUCCCAAAAAUACAUCCUCAGUUCGGAUUGCAGUCUGCAACUCGACUGCAUGAAGUCGGAAUCGCUAGUAAACGCAGGUCAGCUAUACUGCGUUGAUACGUUCCCGGGUCUUGUACACACCGCCCGUCAAGUCACCCGAAUUGUCUGCACCCGAAGUCCGUGGCCCAACCGUAAGGAGGGAGCGGCCGAAGGUGCGGGGAGUAAGGGGGACUAAGUCGU